UUAGACGGGAGGAGAUCAAAAGUGGACAAAGCGUGCAACAACAAACACGUUGUUGUUCAGGUGCACGGAACACAACAAUUUACAAAUGAGUAGGACACUUCUCCAUUUCACCCCCCAAAAAGUUUGCACCUUCCGUUGAAUUAAUAUUCCUUGUAUGAAGUACAAAUGUAUAAUUGGUAAGAUCCCACCCUUUUUUUAAAUACAUUAACUGCAAGCAGACAACGCUCAUGAAAAGCAGCAAAAUAUGCAAACUCCAUGACAGGGUGGACAUUUUGGGCUAACGUUAGCAUUUCUGAAUAUGUUGCUGAAUUACCGUGAUUGUCCAUCCAUUUUCAACACCGCUGACCCUGGUUAGGGUCACGGGGCGCUGGAGCCUAUCCCAGCUGACUUGGGGCGAAAGGCGGACUGAACCUGAACACCCUGAACCGGUCGCCAGUCAGUCGCAGGGCACAUAUAGAAGCGGACAACCAUCGGCACUCACAUUCACACCUCCGGGCAAUUUAGAGCCUUCAAUUAACCUAGCAUGCAUGUUUUUUUGGGGGCGGCGUUCCCGGAGAAAAGCCACGCAGGCACGGGGAGAACAUGCAAACUCCACACAGGCGGGGCCGGGGAUUGAACCCCGGUCCUCGGAACUGUGAGGCGGACGCUCUAACCAGUCUAACCAGUGCCGCCACUGUUAUUUUACAAAACAAAAAUACUAAAACUACACACUGUGUGUGUGUGUGUGUGUGUGAGAUGAAGUCUCAGUUUUGUGCGAGUCGUCAAAAGUGUCCUUUGCACAGGUGAGAUAAGAUUGAGCCGCCACAUUAUGACAACACGGGAAGUUGCUGCGCGCUGUUCCAGCUGAGCAACUUGCAUUUUUCUUAUGAAAGACUCACAGCGAGUGGGUUUUACUUUGCUGGUUCUUAUUUUGUAUUCUCUGACGUGAAAUUUCACAAAGGCGAGGGCCGAUAUUCAUGAUUUCCAUGCAAUUUGAUCUGGUAACACAAAAAGCGGCAGUACGCACGAUGAGGAGCGAUCAAUUAUUUUGGUGUCAGAAACAAUUACUGCAUCUGACUUGAAACGUGGGGAGAUGCAAUCUAUUUUCAGUCGUAUUCCUAUGAGGGUAUCUUGGCCCCAAAUGUGGUAUGUUGUCAUUGUGCCACGUGUACAACGCUCACCUCCUUUUUCUUCAAGAUGACUUUCUUCUGCAGCACUUUGACAGCGUAGAACUGCUUGGUGGCUUUGAGCUUGGCGAGCAGGACCUGCACGCGAGACCCACGCCGACACCUUAAGGGAGCGGGACGAACGACGUGAUCCGUGGGAGCGCUCGGAGCCACUUACUGAGGGUUUGCUGAAGGGCCCAGGUUGACGUCAUCGUGGGGAGAGGAGGUGGGCGAGCGUGGCUACAAGACAACAACAGCAAACGCCCUCGAGUGGCCUCUUGGAACUUCAGCAGCUCGUCAGACGGACGACUUGGAAUUCAACUUGAUAUUUUCAAGUACCCAAAUGAAACCCAUUGAAAUUCUAAUUGUAUACUCGAUCUCGGCUGCAUUGAAACAAUUCUUAACAACACCCGUUAAAACGCACACUCACAUUACAGUGGGCCAUGGUUCUGAUCCAUUCCACUCCCAGCGGGCACCCAGCAUCCGUUCGACCGACCUGACACAAGAGACCACAAAUGUUGACUUCAAACUAUAGCUCUAAUUCAAUGACUUAUCGUGAGGGGUAAUUACCCAAUUUCACCGCAUUGGCCGAAAAUGUACUACGCGUAAUGUAUUUUUGUCAUCUAUCUAUGCCAGCGACUUGUAGUGACAUCCAGAACAAUUCAAUGCGUUGCCACUAGGUGGCAGAAGGUACAAUUAACCUGCGUUUGCACCCGCCAGCAUUCGUACGACAGAAUAAAAUGUGUGAGUAAAGUGAGAUGAGCUCAUUAUUAUUCCACUACACAAACUUUCUGUGCCAUGUUUGUUUCGCGGCGUACCGUGAGAUUGAAACACUGCUCUAAUCUUCCUGUGUGCUAGCCAAUGGUGUGCCCGGAGCAGGUCCAUCUGGUUUGAUGCUGGCCCAGCAGGAAAAAAACUCAAGGGCAUUUCGUGUGUGUGUGUGUGUGUUGACAUGCUAAAUAUUGAGUCCUUCUUUUAGCUGCCACAACAUUCUGGAACAUAAGCAUGCACACAUACACUAGAUACAAUGUUAAGACGCAAUCGUCUUCCUAUUAGGAAAAGUCUUUGUGUACUUUAAAGCAGUGGAUACAUCAUAAUACAAAAAUACACUUUGAGCUCAUCUUACCAUUAAAAUAAGGUAUUGUCGAAAGCGAUUACUGUUUUUUGAAACAACUCAAUAUUACAAACACACGAACAAAUUGGUGAAUGGCAGAUCAAAUAAAUCUAAGGACGUCUAGUUCUAACACAUCGUUGGCAGGAAACGUACUUGGUAACGAUGUCGCUUCUGCCAGUCAACCAGCAAAGAAAGUUAAUGAGGAUCAUGAUCAUGAAUCACAAUUCAAUAUAAUGAAAUUCAAGUACAUUGCACUGAUAUAUUAGGAUUACAAUCCAAUGUGAACGGUUUUUUUUAAGCGAAUACAAAAUCAAAAAUCAAAACAAUUAAAAAUGUAAAGCAAUAGUUCAGUGAUUAUCUCAAAGGACAUUUCAUUGAGAUGCCUUUGCAUCGAGGGUGGUCAUUAUUAGUAAAGAGGGAAGUAGUAUGAAUGUUGAAAAAAUUGUCGGGAGAUUGGCUGGCAACCGGUUCAGGGUGCAACCCCGCCUCCUGCCCGAUGAGCGCUGGGAUGGGCCCCGGCACGCCCGCCACCCUUGUGAGGAGAAGCGGCUCAGAAAAUGGAUGGAAGGACACGAAACACACGACAAAGGAAAAGGGCUCAGGCGAGGGGUCUCGGCCUCGCACGAUGAAUUUGGCACGAGUCGACCGCACCCAAAGCCCGAGAGAGGAG